UCUAUUGUUCUCUGUGUCAUAUCAACAAACAAUAAUUAUAUGGUUAUAUUCAUCAUGCAAUAGCCAAGAGAAAGAAGAAUUGAAGUGUAUAAAAAUGCACUAGCUGGAGGAGCAGCGUAUGUUGCAUAUUCACGAGUUCUAUUCCUGGGUACUGCUGGUGUGGGGAUGACAAGCUUUAAACGUUCUCUUAUGAAGUUACCAUGGGAACCGAGUGUAUCUGAUAUUAAUCAAGUUCGUCCAUUCACACGCGAGUGGCACACACUCAAAAAAGAUCAAUUGAGUGUUGCAUUGUAUGAGGAUGAGAUUAAAGAAUUGGUCGGAUUAAUAUUCGCUGUUUUUGAAGAAGAACUUAAAGGCUCUGAUCAUACUACUCCGUCUGCUUCGAACAAAAAAUUUCAACGUGAAAUUAUGAAUGCAGUUGACACAAUUGUGUCCGAUGUUGAAUCUUCUAUUAAAAAUCAUACUCAGCCAGAGAAGCCACAACCAUUUCUUCAUUUUUGGGACUGUGGUGGUCAGUUGCCUUUUCUUGAGAUUUUACCAGUUUUUCUCACUUCUGGUACAUUAUUCUUUCUUAUUUUUGAU